rnacentral:rRNA from 1 species
GCUAAACAGCUAGCUUAACAACCUAAAUAGACAACACAACAUUAAAAUAGACACCAACGACCCCAAUUAAUAAAACCAAAACAUUUUACCACCUUAGUAUGGGAGACAGAAAAGGAACAUCCUAAAGCAAUAACAAAAGUACCGCAAGGGAAAGCUGAAAGAGAAAUGAAAUAAAUCAUUAAAGCACAACAAAGCAGAGACUAAACCUCGUACCUUUUGCAUCAUGAUUUAGCUAGUAUUAUUAAGCAAAGAGUACUUUAGUUUAAACCCCCGAAACUAAGUGAGCUACCCCGGGACAGCCUAUAUAUUAGGGCCAACCCGUCUCUGUGGCAAAAGAGUGGGAAGAUCCCCGGGUAGAGGUGACAGACCUACCGAACUUAGUGAUAGCUGGUUGCCUAAGAAAUGAAUAGAAGUUCAGCCUGCACCCCUCAGCUCACAUAUACAUUAAAAUACACGAGCCAGAGUAAAAUGCAAGAGUUAAUCAAAGGAGGUACAGCUCCUCUGAAACAGGAAACAACCUUAACAGGAGGUUAAAGAUUAUACUAAUUAAGAUACACCGCUUUAGUGGGCCUAAGAGCAGCCACCAACAUAGAAAGCGUUAAAGCUCAAGCGGAUUAAAAAUCUAUUAUUCAAAUAUUUAAUCUAAAACCCCUAACUAUAUUAGGCCACCCUAUGCCCACAUAGGAGCGACGCUGCUAAAAUGAGUAAUAAGAAGGAACCCCCUUCUCCCCAGCCUACGUGUACGCUAGACCGAACCCCUCACUAGCAAUUAUCGAACCCAACAAAAGAGGGCAAUGUGUUUAAAUUAAAUGCCAAGAAAAUACCACACCAACCCCAUCGUUGACCCCACACUGGAAGGCCCAAAAUUGAGGAAAGACUAAAAGAAAAGGAAGGAACUCGGCAAACACAAGCCUCGCCUGUUUACCAAAAACAUCGCCUCCUGCAAGAUCAAUGUAUAGGAGGUCUUACCUGCCCAGUGACAAAUUUAACGGCCGCGGUAUUUUGACCGUGCAAAGGUAGCGCAAUCACUUGUCUUUUAAAUGAAGACCUGUAUGAAUGGUGGAACGAGGGCUUAACUGUCUCCCCUUUCAAGUCAAUGAAAUUGAUCUGCCCGUGCAGAA